CCUACGGGUGGCAGCAGUGGGGAAUAUUGCGCAAUGGGCGAAAGCCUGACGCAGCGACGCCGCGUGAGGGAUGAAGGUCUUCGGAUCGUAAACCUCUGUCAGCAGGGAAGAACGGUCACUGUGCUAAUCAGCAGUGAAUUGACGGUACCUGCAAAGGAAGCACCGGCUAACUCCGUGCCAGCAGCCGCGGUAAUACGGAGGGUGCGAGCGUUAAUCGGAAUUACUGGGCGUAAAGCGCUCGUAGGCGGUAUGUCAAGUCAAGGGGGAAAUCCCCGCGCUCAACGUGGGAACUGCCUUUGAAACUGGCAAACUGGAGUGUGUGAGAGGAUAGUGGAAGUCGAGGUGUAGGAGUGAAAUCCGGAGAUAUCUGGAGGAACAUCAGUGGCGAAGGCGACUAUCUGGCACAUAACUGACGCUGAGGAGCGAAAGCGUGGGUAGCAAACAGGAUUAGAUACCCGGGUAGUC
rnacentral:rRNA from 1 species